GGGAGGCAUACGCCAUCGUACCAGCUCUCUUAUAAAGCUCCUCAUUCAGGAUAUGUACGGAAGGCAAUGUUCGGAGACGAUAGACAAUCAGAGCCAUAUACCACGCAAGAUGGCGCUGCUGCUGCUGCUGCUGUAAGGCACUCAGCACACACUCUCGUCAUUAUCUGCGAAAAUCCAGCGAAGGCGAUGGCGUCGCUGACCGGUGAGAUCUUCA